ACAGAGAGUGAAGAAAGAAUAAGACACCGUCUCACUAUGAAGGACAGAUGAGAAACCGGGAUGAGUCUGUGAGCUAGAGAAGUCAUCCGGCGAGGACUCAAAGUGACGAGCGUGUGGCAUUAUUGGUUUGGAGAGAAACACAGACGGGGACAAAGAGUGUGUGUGUGUGAGUGUGUGUCUGUGUGUGUGUGUUGGAAAGCUCUCUUGUUAGUGCAGGUGUGUUUGUCGUAGCUAUUGUUUGUGUAAGCAUGUGUUUGUCGCCGUGUCAUCGUUGAUGUUGUCCGAAGCGUCUAGGUGUUAUUGAAGCUGUAAAUGUGUGGUCACCAUUGUGAAA